ACAAAUGUACAUGCUGGAGGGAGUAUCGAGGUGGAACAUGAACCGGGCAAAGGAAGCUGUAGCUGUGGUGGGGGCAUCAACCCUGAGGACAUUUGAUGUUCGCUUGAUGUCUCACCUAAACAGCAUGAGCCAGCGGGUCCUUGGUUGUUCUCUGGUUCCAGAAUUCACCCCACCUGGAAAACCUACUGGCGAGCGCAUUGCUGUGGAGUACCUGUUGGCCCAGUCCAAUAGAGGCGACCUGCUGGUUCCACAGCAGCUGCCAGAGAUCCCCACAGAGGAGCUCGAGGACGACGGGGGUGAACCUGACGUCACGGUGUGCCAGGUAGCUGACCUUAGGGUAGGUGAUCUUGAUCCUCCAAUAUGUGCCGUGGAACCAGGUGACACUGGAGGGUGACAGUGGACCCAGAUCCCUGGAUGAGGACAUCAUUGUGGAGGAAGACGACACACAAGACAGCACAUCAGACCAGAAUAGCCGAUGUGAUUCCAGAGGUGUCUUGGGCUGGGAUGCGGUUGAUGACCUGGCAGCCUACCUGGUUGGCCUGAACCGAACCAUCACUGCCUUGUCAUCAAAAGAGGAGGCUGACAUAGUCCAUCUUUACAUGGCUCUCCCUGCUAUGGACAAGGAACCUUUGAGGUUCGGCCAGAAAGCCAGGAAGAAGACCGUGGCAGGACCUUGGAGAGCGCCCAGGAAGCCGAGUGGCUCUGCUCCUGGACAGCAGGCGGCAGAGAGACUGUUCAUGACUCACGGGCAGGCAGCCCAGGACCCCGAAGUCCACAGGGUCAGCGAAUGUGUUUGCCUGAGACUUUUAAAAGAGUUUCAGCAAGCACCAAACAGGCCCAAGGACACAAGGAGUAGAACUCUG